GAGUUUGAUCAUGGCUCAGAGUGAACGCUGGCGGUAGGCCUAACACAUGCAAGUCGAACGGCAGCACAGAGGAGCUUGCUCCUUGGGUGGCGAGUGGCGGACGGGUGAGGAAUACAUCGGAAGUCUACUCUGUCGUGGGGGAUAACGUAGGGAAACUUACGCUAAUACCGCAUACGACCUACGGGUGAAGCAGGGGAUCUUCGGACCUUGCGCGAUUGAAUGAGCCGAUGUCGGAUUAGCUAGUUGGCGGGUAAAGGCCACCAAGGCGACGAUCCGUAGCUGGUCUGAGAGGAUGAUCAGCCACACUGGAACUGAGACACGGUCCAGACUCCUACGGGAGGCGAGCAGUGGGGAAUAGUUGGACGAAUGGGCGCAAGCCUGAUCCAGCCAUACCGCGUGGUGAAGAAGGCCU
rnacentral:rRNA from 1 species